UUUUUUUGCGAUUUUCCAGGUUGCCAUGGUGAUAUAGAUGAAAGACAAUACAUACAGAACAUUGACGGAGGUGUUUUUUAAAGUUGGAGCAUGUAGGGCAUGUUGUGUCUCAGUCGCAACGAUUAAAACUGAACAUGGCACCGAUCAAAACCGUACAAAGAUGCAUACAGAUUGUUGAUGGACGUAUUUUCAGAUUUGGUGCAUGUCGGGUUGUGGUUUAGUGUUCAAAGGCAAAGAUCAAUGCCAUACAUCAUGGACGAUGGUGGACGAAGGUAUUGACAGGUCUGAACCAUAAAUGUGUUACCAUGGCAACGUACCUCUACAUAGAAGCAGUGAAGCUGCAGUAGUGUAAUAGCCAACCUGUACAAAGUUAUAUAGCAGAUUUCAGACAGUAGGGGUUACCAUGGAAACCUAAUCUACAUCUAGCCAUUGAUAUAAAUGGAUGACCGACGUCGACGUCUACAAUCAGCAGUGAGAGAAAUUCUGCAAACGAUCACGUGACAUACGCUUAGCUCCAAGACCUGUAAAUGAAUUCAGAGUUUUCCAAAUUGUUGGCGGAUGUUUAAUACAAGCACAUGUGAAGAUAUAAUGUUGUAGAUGUUGCAACUAUGGUGCUUGAUAUUGACAAACACGUGCACGGAUGUCAUGUUGUAGAUUUCACAAUGGUUAAGUGGAUGGUGCAGCUUGGUCCUUUUUCUAAGGCACAACGGGGAAGAAACUUUUAAUUGAUGGAACUAUAACUGAACAAGGACAGCCUUGCUGGUACCAUAAAGCUGCUGAUAACCAGAGAUGCACUAGUACCAGUCGAUACCGGUCACCAGAGAUGCACUGGUACCCUAUCGAUGCCUAUCAUCAGAGGUGUGCUGGGCCCCUUAUGUCAACAUGUUAAUCAACUGUUUUCAGCCAGCACUGUUUGAUGGUCUCAAUGGGAUUCAAGGCUUGGUGGACAUGUUGUCGGUAUUUGUCCUGUCGUGCUCAUGUUAGAGAGCUCUUCCACACCUCUUGCACAAACCGGAAAAUCCUUGAUGGCCGGAAAGACGAAGACUUCAGUUGGGUUUAAAAAGGCAAGAAGAUAGUGUUUUACGUUGCUGAAAGACAUAGAAAAGAACCGAUUGCAGAAAAAUAUCACCAUGCCGCCCAGUGUUUGUUAUUUCCGAUAGAUGGCAGCGCAAUGCGUUCCAGAUUGAUUUCAAACACACAAGAGAGAAAUAUAUGCAGAAGGAAGAAGGAAGUAUGAUGAAUUCACGACAAACCUUGUACAA
rnacentral:lncRNA from 1 species